CGUGUGUGAUUUUUCUGGUCAGUCUUUAGGCCACUAGCACCAAAAAGGAGGCGGACUUUCCGGAAAACACACCUGAUGGGACACCAGGGUGUGUAAGAUGCACUCCUCGGUCCAGGGCAACAGUGGGCCGAACCAAGAUGGCAGAGAAAGAUCAAACAGAGGAAGAGGAAGAAGAGCGCGGCGGCCUGUGGCGCGGAGGCUCAGAGCAGUGCCAUCCAACCAUCCCACAUCAGAGAAGCCAUCAGGCGCUACAGCCACAAGAUCGGCCCGCUCUCCCCCUUCUCAAGUGCCUACCGCAGGAACGGGAUGACUUUCCUGGCCUGCUGAGGUGAGCGAGAGGAGGUCUGGAGGAGACUCUGUCUGCGUCUGUCUUUCCGUGUCUGCAGGUUGGUUUGGACAGGAAUUGCUCUGGACUAACACAAAUCUGGAUUGGACACUUUUUUUUUUUGUUUAGUUGGGGUUCAUUUAAACUCUAGAAGUACGACUUUGCUCUUUUUUUAAAAUGGUUUUAAGUCGUAUUUUUAGUCGGUUACAAAAUGUUCUCAAUAAUUUGAUCUAUUUUGAUGAUGUUUAUUUUUUCGGGGGAGGGGUGGGUAAAAGUUGGGUAAUGAAAACCCAUCUUCUUUUUGAUACUGUAAUACAUUAUUUAUUAAAUUGUAAUAUCUGGCCAUAGUAUUUUUAUACCAUUUCUGUUUGGAUUUAGAUUUAGAAUAAAAAUUAAUAAAUUAAAUUAAAUGUAUUAUUAUUUAUUUAUUAUUUAUUUAUUUAAAGAUUGUCAAUGAAGGAGUCAUGGUAUUACCAUAAAAAAAAAUACAAAAAAAAGUUAAGGGUUUUUAGAUUCUUGUUCUUCUGCUCAUCAAGGCUGCAUUUAUUUGAUCAAAAAUACAGAAAAAACUG